GACGAACGCUGGCGGCGUGCUUAACACAUGCAAGUCAAACGCUGAAGCUCAGCUUUUGUUGGGUGGAUGAGUGGCGAACGGGUGAGUAACACGUGAGUAACCUGCCCCCUUCUUUGGGAUAACGCCCGGAAACGGGUGCUAAUACUGGAUAUUCACUGGUCUUCGCAUGGGGGUUGGUGGAAAGGGUUUUUCUGGUGGGGGAUGGGCUCGCGGCCUAUCAGCUUGUUGGUGGGGUGAUGGCCUACCAAGGCUUUGACGGGUAGCCGGCCUGAGAGGGUGACCGGUCACAUUGGGACUGAGAUACGGCCCAGACUCCUACGGGAGGCAGCAGUGGGGAAUAUUGCACAAUGGGCGCAAGCCUGAUGCAGCGACGCCGCGUGAGGGAUGGAGGCCUUCGGGUUGUGAACCUCUUUCGCUCAUGGUCAAGCCGCAACAAUGGUUGUGGUGAGGGUAGUGGGUAAAGAAGCGCCGGCUAACUACGUG
rnacentral:rRNA from 1 species